UGGGAAAACUUGGUGCUGUUCAUGCCUGG
rnacentral:piRNA from 1 species